GCUUGGAUCAAUGUAGAUUUACCACUUCCAGUUCGCCCAACUAUUCCAAUUUUCCUUCCACCAGGAAAGGCGCAUGAUAUCCCAUGAAGUACCAUGGGAAGAUUCUCAGCAUAACGAACCUUCAAAUCAAUCAGUUCUAUUGUCCCAUUUUCUGGCCAUGAGGAUGGAGUGCGGAAACUCUCAAUAACUGAUGGAGCUUCACUUGGAAUUUGGCUGUACUGAUAAAUCCUUUCUAUAGAAAUAAUUUUGUUUUCUAGUUUGCAAAAGCUAAGUAUCCACCGCGAUAGGCGUGCAUUUAAAUU
rnacentral:misc_RNA from 1 species